rnacentral:tRNA from 1 species
GGUGGGGUUCCCGAGUGGCCAAAGGGGGCAGACUGUAAAUCUGUUGGCAACGCCUUCGGAGGUUCAAAUCCUCCCCCCACCACCA